UUAUAUUUUAAAUUUUAAAAUAUAAAUAUAAAAUAUAAAAAUUUAAAUUCUAAUAUAAAGAAAAAAAUAAUAUCAUUAUUUUUUAUUUAUAACUACCCACUUUAAUUCAUAUCCCAUCUUACCUAACCAAACGCUAUUUUUCUUAUUCUCAGGAAUACUCAAUUUUCAUCCAAACGCAAAAUUCAUCUAAUCCCCGCUUAUACUCAAUUUAUAUUUAUCCCCGGAAUACCCACUUUUUGCUUAUCCCCGAACCAAACGAUACCUAAGAGUAGUUAAUCUCAUCUAUUGCAA
rnacentral:lncRNA from 1 species